AAGCCAGCCAAUUAAUUCUACUUCUCUCAGUGUGUUUUCGCAGAACUUCAGAAACAGCUGGCAAUAGAGAUGCCAGUUUAUCAGCCUUAAGGACAGCUGAGGUCAUUACGUCCCUCAAAAUGGCCACAGUA
ensembl:snoRNA